rnacentral:lncRNA from 1 species
AAGCAACACAUUACAACAAAUGUGCAGAUUUCUACUAUUAAAAAUCCAAAAGGCAUAGAGAAUAAUAAAAGGUUUAUUUUCAAAUCAGCUCCCUGAUAAGACUGGCAUGGGAAAUAAUCAAGAAAGCUUAAUUACUGUAACUUGUCCAUUAUAGAAAAAUGCAGCAUCUUAUAUUUCCAUUGUUAUCAAACAUCUUGUUUUUUCAUUGUUAUCAAAGAAUGAGGAUAAAAACUUUUGGGAGAUAAUCAAAAAGUUUUAUGACUUAUGAGAUGGUUUUCUUUAGCAGGUGUGACCUCAAAUACUGUUUCUUCACUUUAUAAUUGGAAGUCUUUAAUUUAUUUGGUCAAUAAAUAUCUGAAUGCAUACUAUGAGCCAGAUGCUAAUUAUACCUUUAUGAACAAAGCAACAUAGUUCCUCCCCUGAUGAAAACUUAGUCUAAUGAGAGAGAUGUAUGCUUAAAAAUGUAAACAAAGAGACAACUAAUAAUUACAAUCCAUGGAAAGUGCUAUUAUAAAAACCAAUAGAAUCUUUGAUAACUAGGUGAUUCAGGGAGGUCUCAACAAUUAGGUGAUGCUGGAUGAGACUUGAAAGAUAAGAAGUUACCAGAAGGUCAAAUAUUGAGGGGAAGAAUGUCCUAGCAGUGGAAACACCAUGUGCAAAGGCCUAAGGUAGAAAUAACUGGGUUUGUGUGUGAAUCUGUGGUCCCCAUAAGCUAACCUUGAGAUGAGAGCUCAUGUGCAAGUGAUCUAUGAAGGAAAUUCUCCUAGCAAAUCUCAGUAUAGGAAUGCCAGGAGAGGAAAGGGAUGAGAAAAAGCCAAGAAAGGGUGCAAUUUCAGCCCCAGCUUCAGCCUCAUCCUGAUCUAGCUGUGGAGCCCUGGAGUAUAAAUUAUAGCUCGGAGCAAUUUCUACCUAAGGUUAUGGAGCUGGCUUUCAACCUCGUUCCACCAGCCAGUCAUUGUUUAAGAACCUGUCUGGGAGGAUACUAACUCCAAGUCUUUGGAUGUCCAGGAAAAUAACUCCAGUAGGUGACCAAAAGUAUUAUUCCCCAAAGAGCUGCAUGUAUGGGAGGUUAGAAGCACAAGCACACAGAAGCUAGAGGAGGGGUGCGGAGUAUGGUAAAAGGGACUUUAAAAAUCUCUGUGGAGCCCCAACAGUGUCCGCUACAGCUUGUUAGAGAGAAACCAAAAGGAGACUAGAGUGGCUCUGUCAUAGUAAGAGAGACAGAGAUGGGUCCAACCAGAGCAUGUAGAGAGAAAAAGACAGGUCCUGGAGGGUUUAAAAGGCUAUUGUAUAGAGUUGACAUUUUAUUCUACCAACAAAUGGAAACCAAUGCAGAAAAAUGACACAAACCGAUUCGUAUUCAGAAAAACAUCUUUAAUAAUUACACAGACACUUGAGGGAGACAAGUAAGGGAGCCAGGGUUAUUUUAUUUAUUUUUUGUAGUACUUUGUUAAUUUUUUUAAAAAUUAUUAUUUGUUCAGAUUUAUGGGGUACAUGUGGAAUUUUGUUACAUGUAUAUAAAAUGUGGUGAUCAAGUCAGGAUAUUUAAACGAGUCCAUUACUUGAAUACAAUACAUUUUUGUUAGCUAUAGUCACCCUGCUCUACUAUCUAACACUGAAUUUAUUCAUUCUAUCUAACUAUAUGCUUGCACUCUUUAACCCACUUCUCUUCAUCCUUCUCCCUUCUCCCUACUCAUUCUUCCCAGUCUCUGUUAUCUUUCUACUCUCUACCUCCAUGUGAUCAAAUUUUUUAGCUCUCACAUAUAAGUGAGAACAUGUCAAAUUUGUCUUUUUGUGCCUGGCUUAUUUAACUUAAAAUAAUGUCCUCCAGUUCCAUCCAUGUUGCUGCAAAUGACAUGGUUUUAUUCUUUUCUUAUGACUGAAUAGUAUCCCAAUGUGUAUAUAGGCCACAUUUUCUUUAUCCACUCAUUCACUGAUGGACACUUAGGUUGAUUCCAUAUCUUUACUAUUGUGAAUAGUGGGGAAAUAAACAUGUGAGAGUUUUUAGAGACACAAUAAUAAUAAUAACACCUAACAAUAAGAAAAUACCCUCUGACAAGAGAAAAAUAACUACCAAAAUAAGGUAAGUUGACCUUAACCCUAACCCUGAGAAAGUCAAACCUUCAUCAUUACUUCUAUGGUUUUCAGGAUACUAAAGAGCACAGAUCAAUUCUAUCCAUGUACAAAGUCCCAGUCAUCUGGUUAUUUAUAUACAUGUGAAUUUUAACAUGUGUAUUGAUCAUGAGCCAUGUGUCAAAGUUUAGGAGUACAAAAGAGAACAGAGUAUAACCUGUUUCCUCAAACAUGUACAUAACAGACAUGAACAUACCUAAUUUUGUAAAAAUUCAAGAAACAAGAUUGAAACAGUGUCUCUUAGAACACAUGGAAUCUUUUCUUUCUUCAGAACUCAGGCAGAAUUAUACCAAUAGUAUACAAUACAUAUUUUACAAUCAAUUUCACAACUGUGAAUUAAAAUACUCAUACACACAAUUGUUGUGUUUUCUCUAAGAAAAGAGAUAUACUAGGGACCCAAAGAUACGGGAGAUAGAGUCUAUGAAGUAAAAUAAUUCUUUGAUAUGAGAGGCAAAGGAGAUGGGGGUAUUGAAGAGGUCUCAUUUCCUGAAUGGGAUAGUUAUUUUUAUUGAUUAAGCUUGAGAAUUCACUGAAUGGACUUCUAGAAUGUUGGGAGAAAGAAAAUGCCCUGUUUUUUUGAAUAUAUUGAUUUUAAAAGGCAAUGUUUAUAAAGAUAAAGUAUAAAUGCCCUAAAGUUUGUUGAAUACACAGGGCUAAUUUCAGAAAAGAAAAGGCUGGAGAGAGAGAGAUUACUACGUCACCAGUGUAAAUAAUGUAAGUAAAGUUAUAAGCAAAGAUAAGAUAGGCUAGCAGGGGAAAGUAUGUAAGAGAAGAAAAGAGGGCUUAGAAAAGCAUACCAAUGUAUAGAGUUCAAAAUGAGAAGGCUAUAACAAUUGAGUAUAAGAUGGAAACAGGAAGAAAAGCAAAGGCAAUGUACUCAUGGGGACUACAUGAGGAAUAGUAUCUAGAUGUAACAGGUAGUUAUCAGGAUUAAAUAUUGUGGACAGGUUAGCUAAGAUUAAAAGCAAAACACACACACAUGCAAGUACACAGUUUAUAGCUAUAGAUUACUGGAAAAUAUGUUGAGAAAGUUUUGCAAAAAAAUGUUUAGAGGAAAGUAGAAUUUUGGUGUGUUUGAAAGUAUUAUAAAGAUAGGUUUCUCUGUAUUUUUUAAUAGAUAUUUUUAACAAGUUAGAUAUAUAUAU